rnacentral:rRNA from 1 species
UUGCCUACGGGGGGCAGCAGUGGGGAAUAUUGCACAAUGGGCGAAAGCCUGAUGCAGCAACGCCGCGUGAAGGAAGAAGGCCUUCGGGUCGUAAACUUCUGUCCUUGGGGAAGAAGAACUGACGGUACCCAAGGAGGAAGCCCCGGCUAACUACGUGCCAGCAGCCGCGGUAAUACGUAGGAGGCAAGCGUUAUCCGGAAUUAUUGGGUUUAAAGGAAGCGUAGAUGGGUUGUUAAGUCAGUUGUGAAAGUUUGCGGCUCAACCGUAAAGUUGCAAUUGAUACUGGCAGCCUUGAGUACAGUUGG